rnacentral:rRNA from 1 species
UGGGGAAUUUUGGACAAUGGGCGAAAGCCUGAUCCAGCAAUGCCGCGUGUGUGAAGAAGGCCUUCGGGUUGUAAAGCACUUUUGUCCGGAAAGAAAUGGCUCUGGUUAAUACCUGGGGUCGAUGACGGUACCGGAAGAAUAAGGACCGGCUAACUACGUGCCAGCAGCCGCGGUAAUACGUAGGGUCCAAGCGUUAAUCGGAAUUACUGGGCGUAAAGCGUGCGCAGGCGGUUGUGCAAGACCGAUGUGAAAUCCCCGAGNUUAACUUGGGAAUUGCAUUGGUGACUGCACGGCUAGAGUGUGUCAGAGGGGGGUUAGAAUUCCACGUGUAGCAGUGAAAUGCGUAGAGAUGUGGAGGAAUACCGAUGGCGAAGGCAGCCCCCUGGGAUAACACUGACGCUCAUGCACGAAAGCGUGGGGAGCAAACAGGAUUAGAUACCCUGGUAGUCCACGCCCUAAACGAUGUCAACUAGUUGUUGGGAUUCAUUUCCUUAGUAACGUAGCUAACGCGUGAAGUUGACCG